GUUGUGGUGAUGAAAGAAGAUAACAUAAAAACAGAAAAAUGGCGAAGAGCACAGAUUCCACAGCCUAAUGUCCUGAGUUUAAAUUCCUACUCUGCCAUUUACCAGGCUGGAAGUCCAAGGUGAAGAUGUUGGCAGGGUUGGCUCCUUCUGAGGCUGUGAGGAAAGGAUCUGUUCCAGACCUCUCUCCUUUACUUUGUGGAUGGCCGCCUUGUCCCUGUGUCCUCACCUAAUCUUCCCUCUGUACGU
rnacentral:lncRNA from 1 species